rnacentral:rRNA from 1 species
AUUGAACGCUGGCGGCAGGCCUAACACAUGCAAGUCGAGCGGAGCGGUGGACGGGUGGGUAAUGCCUAGGAAGCUACCUGGCAGUGGGGGGGAACUUACGGCUAGGGGCGGUAACACCGCAUACUAUCAGAUGGGCCUAGGUGGGAUUAGCUAGUUGGUGGGGUAAAGGCCUACCAAGGCGACGAUCCGUAGCUGGUCUGAGAGGAUGAUCAGUCACACUGGAACUGAGACACGGUCCAGACUCCGACGGGAGGCAGCAGUGGGGAAUAUUGGACAAUGGGCGAAAGCCUGAUCCAGCCAUGCCGCGUGUGUGAAGAAGGUCUUCGGAUUGUAAAGCACUUUAAGUUGGGAGGCGUUACCAGCAGAAUAAGCACCGGCUAACUCCGUGCCAGCAGCCGCGGUAAUAC